rnacentral:lncRNA from 1 species
GAAAACUAUGUUGGAAGCUUGGAGGAAAAAAGAACUUGGAGGCCAACCUUGUCAAAGGUACAGUUGACUGCAGUAGACCCAAAGGAUGCACUCACAGCAAGGCCACCAGGAGAUGACGGGACUUCAGAUGGACAUGGUGCUUCAGGGCACAAGAUUACUCAGGGAGUUCUCUUCAGAAAACCUGGAAGAGAGUUCAGGAAACAGGCAGAUAAGGGACAAGAGUGGCCUCUGGCUUAGGUCAGGUUUAGCUUUCAUGUGAUCCUGGGACCCUGGAGGGUCCUAUAGCGCUGACUUGAAGCAAUAGGACUGAGCUGUUAAACCCAAUGCUUUUCUGGGUGGCUCCCAUAAGCCAUGCGCCAGGAAGACAUGGGGAUAUCAGAGUGUAAAAGGAAUUUGGACAGGGCAUCUCAUCAAUGGUGUCUACCACACAUGUAUCCCAGGACUUAUAGGUAGAACAUGUUCAACUUGCUCUGGUGGCUUUCUGACUGUCCAGAGUGGAGUUCUUCUUUUGAACAGAUAUUCGCUUUAUAAAAUAUUGUUCAGGUCUCCAUCUGGUUGCUUUUCUGUCUCAUAAGCAAAAAAGAAACCCUAAGAGGAGGUGUCAAGACAGGAAUGGUUCUACCUGAUGAGAGGUCUGCAUGCUUCAGCAUACCCCACUCUUGGUCUUUCCCCUCUACCUGCACUGAGAUCCCCAAAGAAUUCCUUAGGGAUUUUAGGGGUGCCAUAUCUGUGUUUUCAAAUCAGGGCUUAGAACUGCUGCAGCACUGGAGGUCUGAGCCAAUCAAAAUCUGUAAGGAGGGUGAGAGAGGUGUUGGACAGUUUCUUUUCCAGAAUGUCCCAAAUCUUGGGGCUGGAGCAAAAAGAUCUAGAAUCCCCUAAAGUGCUGUGAUUUGGUAACACAGGGCCAGCAAACUCUCCAAGUCCCAAACCCAAGGCUGAUUCCCAUAUGGCCUCCAGGGCUAUGAAAGUACUGACCAGACAUACUCCGAUAAUCCUGCACACAUGUCCACAGAGACUCUGCUGUGGAACACCCUGAGAAGCAUAGAUUGUCAGUCCCUUCAAAUUUAUCUUACUCUGCCCUUGACAAAACCCUGUCUUCUUCCCGACGCACAAGCCUGGCCUUGUGUCCAGGUUGGGCACAAACUGAGAGAGAUUAAGGUGAACCAUCUUAUUCUCUGAAGAUCAACUUUCACCUUAAUUUGUCAAAGUGUAAAUAUUAGAAGGUUCCAAUAGUCCCUUCCUGUAUAACCUCUGAAAUUGUUUUCAUACUUGUAUACUGUAGUGAUAUUCUUACUAUGAUUCAGAUGUGGUUUAUCCCCUAAGGGUUGGAGGCUUGGAUUUCUGCAUGGCUGUGUGAAUGGGAGGUCCUUAGGUCACUGGGGGCAUGCCCUAGAAGGGAUUAAGGCAGUUCUUGUGGGGCCUGGAGUUAGUUCUCACAAAAGGGAGUUUUUAUAAGAGGG